rnacentral:rRNA from 1 species
UACGUAGGGUGCAAGCGUUGUCCGGAAUUAUUGGGCGUAAAGAGCUCGUAGGCGGUCUGUCACGUCGGCUGUGAAAACUCGGGGCUUAACUCCGGGCCUGCAGUGGGUACGGGCAGACUAGAGUGCGGUAGGGGAGACUGGAAUUCCUGGUGUAGCGGUGAAAUGCGCAGAUAUCAGGAGGAACACCGAUGGCGAAGGCAGGUCUCUGGGCCACUACUGACGCUGAGAAGCGAAAGCAUGGGGAGCGAACAGG